UGGGGAAUAUUGCGCAAUGGGGGAAACCCUGACGCAGCAACGCCGCGUGGAGGAAGAAGGUCUUCGGAUUGUAAACUCCUGUCUUUGGGGACGAAAAAAAUGACGGUACCCAAGGAGGAAGCCACGGCUAACUACGUGCCAGCAGCCGCGGUAAUACGUAGGUGGCAAGCGUUGUCCGGAAUUAUUGGGCGUAAAGGGCGCGUAGGCGGUACCUUAAGUCAGAUGUGAAAACCCGAGGCUUAACUUCGGAGGUGCAUUUGAAACUGGGGAACUAGAGUGCAGGAGAGGUAAGUGGAAUUCCUAGUGUAGCGGUGAAAUGCGUAGAUAUUAGGAGGAACACCAGUGGCGAAGGCGACUUACUGGACUGUAACUGACGCUGAGGCGCGAAAGCGUGGGGAGCAAACAGGAUUAGAUACCCCGGUAGUCC
rnacentral:rRNA from 1 species